rnacentral:rRNA from 1 species
CCUACGGGGGGCAGCAGUGGGGAAUAUUGGACAAUGGGGGGAACCCUGAUCCAGCCAUGCCGCGUGUCUGAAGAAGGCCCUCGGGUUGUAAAGCACUUUCAGUGAGGAAGAACGCCUGGUGGUUAAUACCCAUCAGGAAAGACAUCACUCACAGAAGAAGCACCGGCUAACUCCGUGCCAGCAGCCGCGGUAAUACGGAGGGUGCGAGCGUUAAUCGGAAUUACUGGGCGUAAAGCGCGCGUAGGUGGCUUGAUAAGCCGGUUGUGAAAGCCCCGGGCUCAACCUGGGAACGGCAUCCGGAACUGUCAAGCUAGAGUGCAGGAGAGGAAGGUAGAAUUCCCGGUGUAGCGGUGAAAUGCGUAGAGAUCGGGAGGAAUACCAGUGGCGAAGGCGGCCUUCUGGACUGACACUGACACUGAGGUGCGAAAGCGUGGGUAGCAAACAGGAUUAGAUACCCCAGUAGUC